AGGACGAACGCUGGCGGCGUGCCUAACACAUGCAAGGUCGAACGGGGAUUUGUUUCGGCAGAAUCCUAGUGGCGAACGGGUGAGUAACGCGUAGGCAACCUGCCCUCCGGCCGGGGACAACACUCCGAAAGGGGUGCUAAUACCGGAUACGAAGUCUGUGCCGCAUGGUACGGAUUUGAAAGAUGGCCUCUGUUUACAAGCUAUCGCCGGGGGAUGGGCCUGCGUCCGAUUAGCUGGUUGGUGGGGUAACGGCCUACCAAGGCGACGAUCGGUAGCCGGUCUGAGAGGAUGAACGGCCACAUUGGGACUGAGACACGGCCCAGACUCCUACGGGAGGCAGCAGUGGGGAAUCUUCCGCAAUGGGCGCAAGCCUGACGGAGCAACGCCGCGUGAGUGAGGAAGUUCUUCGGAACGUAAAGCUCUGUUGUUCCUGACGAACCUCCCUUCUAUCAACAACGGAGGGGACUGACGGUAGGGAACGAGGAAGCCACGGCUAACUACGUGCCAGCCGCGGC
rnacentral:rRNA from 1 species